UCAGAAAUGCAGAUUUUCUAAGGUGAACCC
rnacentral:piRNA from 1 species